rnacentral:rRNA from 1 species
UGGGGAAUAUUGCACAAUGGGGGAAACCCUGAUGCAGCGACGCCGCGUGAACGAAGAAGGUAUUCGUAUCGUAAAGUUCUGUCCUAUGGGAAGAUAAUGACAGUACCAUAGAAGAAAGCUCCGGCUAAAUACGUGCCAGCAGCCGCGGUAAUACGUAUGGAGCGAGCGUUGUCCGGAAUUAUUGGGCGUAAAGGGUACGCAGGCGGUUUAAUAAGUCGAAUGUUAAAGAUCGGGGCUCAACCCCGUAAAGCAUUGGAAACUGAUAAACUUGAGUAGUGGAGAGGACAGUGGAAUUCCUAGUGUAGUGGUGAAAUACGUAGAUAUUAGGAGGAAUACCAGUAGCGAAGGCGACUUUCUGGACACAAACUGACGCUGAGGUACGAAAGCGUGGGGGGCAAACAGG